GACGAACGCUGGCGGCGUGCCUAAUACAUGCAAGUAGGACGAGUUGCGAACGGGUGAGUAACGCGUGGUAACCUACCUAUUAGAGGGGGCUAACUAUUGGAAACGGUAGCUAAUACCGCAUACCAUCGGAUGUGCCCAGAUGGGAUUAGCUAGUGGGUGGGGUAACGGCUCACCAAGGCGACGAACCCGAGCUGGUCUGAGAGGAUGACCAGCCACACUGGAACUGGAACACGGUCCAGACUCCGACGGAAGGCAGCAGUGGGGAAUAUUGCACAAUGGGCGCAAGCCUGAUGCAGCCAUGCCGCGUGUAUGAAGAAGGCCUUCGGGUUGUAAAGUACUUUCAGCGAGGAGGCGUUACUCGCAGAAGAAGCACCGGCUAACUCCGUGCCAGCAGCCGCGGUAAUUC
rnacentral:rRNA from 1 species